AAAUAACUACGAGUAAAAACUUAAAAUUUAAAAGACUUGACGGUACUUCACACCAGCCUAGAGGAGCCUGUCUAAUAACCGACAACCCACGAUUAACCCAACCCCUGCUAGCCAAACAGUCUAUAUACCGCCGUCGCCAGCUUACCCUGUGAAAGAAAUAAAAGUAAGCUAAACAAUCCAACAUUAACACGACAGGUCGAGGUGUAACUAAUGAAGGGGCCAAGAUGGGCUACAUUUUCUAACCCAGAACAAACCACGAAUAGACUAUGAAAUUAGAAACUGAAGGCGGAUUUAGCAGUAAGAUAAGAAUAAAAUACCUCUCCGAAGCCAAAGCAAUGAAGUGCGC
rnacentral:rRNA from 1 species